CUGCCCUAUACGCANNNANAACGUACCGAAAGGUACNCUAAUACGAGAUAAUAUAUUUUUAUCGCAUGGUAGAAAUAUCAAAGCUCCGGCGGUAUAGGAUGGACCCGCGUCUGAUUAGCUAGUUGGUAAGGUAAUGGCUUACCAAGGCGACGAUCAGUAGCCGACCUGAGAGGGUGAUCGGCCACAUUGGAACUGAGACACGGUCCAAACUCCUACGGGAGGCAGCAGUGGGGAAUAUUGCACAAUGGGCGAAAGCCUGAUGCAGCAACGCCGCGUGAGCGAUGAAGGCCUUCGGGUCGUAAAGCUCUGUCCUCAAGGAAGAUAAUGACGGUACUUGAGGAGGAAGCCCCGGCUAACUACGUGCCAGCAGCCGCGGUAAUACGUAGGGGGCUAGCGUUAUCCGGAAUUACUGGGCGUAAAGGGUGCGUAGGUGGUUUCUUAAGCCAGAGGUGAAAGGCUACGGCUCAACCGUAGUAAGCCUUUGAAACUGAGAAACUUGAGUGCAGGGGAGGAGAGUAGAAUUCCUAGUGUAGCGGUGAAAUGCGUAGAUAUUAGGAGGAGUACCAGUUGCGAAGGCGGCUCUCUGGACUGUAACUGACACUGAGGCACGAAAGCGUGGGGAGCAAACAGGAUUAAAUACCCUGGUAGUCCACGCCGUAAAACGAUGAGUACUAGCUGUCGGAGGUUACCCCCUUCGGUGGCGCAGCUAAACGCAUUAAGUACUCCGCCUGGGAAGUACGCUCGCAGAGUGAAACUCAAGGAUUUGACGGGGACCCG
rnacentral:rRNA from 1 species